rnacentral:misc_RNA from 1 species
CAAAGCCAGGGUCUAGGCAUAUCUACCUGGAGGAUAUAAUGCGUUUCAUGCAAGAAGAUGAGGCUUUAAAGACUAUGGGUCUUUUUGAAGGAGCNNNAAAGCAAGAAAAUUAGCAAGUCAUGUUUGAAAAAUUGGGUGGUUAAUGCUUUUAGAGAACGGAGAGCACUUGCUUUGACAUUGAAUGAUACAAAAACGGCUGUGAACAAGCUGCAUCGAAUGGUGAACGUUUUGGUUGGGAUCCUUAUAACUAUUAUUUGGCUUCUCAUACUAGGAAUUGCUACAAGCAAAUUUCUUGUUUUUAUAAGCUCCCAACUCCUCCUUGUGGCAUUUAUAUUUGGAAACACCUGCAAAACAGUAUUUGAAUCUAUUAUCUUCUUGUUUGUGAUUCACCCUUUUGACGUGGGUGACCGUUGUGAAGUUGAUGGAGUUCAGAUGGUAGUGGAAGAGAUGAACAUUUUAACUACUGUUUUCCUAAGAUAUGACAACCAGAAGAUUAUAAUUGCAAACAGUGUUCUCGCUACCAAAGCCAUCAGUAACUACUAUUAGUCCUGACAUGGGAGAUGCUGUUGAGUUCCUCAUUCACCUUGCUACGCCAGCUGAAAAGAUUGCUGUUAUUAAGCAAAGGAUAACUUGUUAUGUGGAGAACAAAAAGGAACACUGGUAUCCUUCACCCAUGAUCAUAUUCAAGGAUGUGGAAGACCUGAAUAGGGUGCGAAUAGCAGUGUGGUUAACCCAUACAAUGAACCACCAAGACAUGGGAGAGAGGUUUACAAGGAGAGCCCUCUUGCUUGAAGAGAUGGUUAAAAUUUUCAGGGAGCUUGACAUCCAGUAUCGCCUGCUUCCUCUUGAUAUCAAUGUUCGUGCAUUGCCUCCUGUGUCGUCAGAACGUGUGCCUCCUAGUUGGAUGAUCU